rnacentral:misc_RNA from 1 species
UCUCCGUUGGUGAAACAGCGGAGGGAUCAUUACCGAGUUUACAACUCCCAAACCCAAUGUGAACCAUACCAAACUGUUGCCUCGGCGGGGUCACGCCCCGGGUGCGUCGCAGCCCCGGAACCAGGCGCCCGCCGGAGGGACCAACCAAACUCUUUCUGUAGUCCCCUCGCGGACGUUAUUUUUACAGCUCUGAGCAAAAAUUCAAAAUGAAUCAAAACUUUCAACAACGGAUCUCUUGGUUCUG